AUUGAACGCUGGCGGCAGGCCUAACACAUGCAAGUCGAGCGGAUGAAGGGAGCUUGCUCCUGGAUUCAGCGGCGGACGGGUGAGUAAUGCCUAGGAAUCUGCCUGGUAGUGGGGGACAACGUUUCGAAAGGAACGCUAAUACCGCAUACGUCCUACGGGAGAAAGCAGGGGACCUUCGGGCCUUGCGCUAUCAGAUGAGCCUAGGUCGGAUUAGCUAGUUGGUGAGGUAAUGGCUCACCAAGGCGACGAUCCGUAACUGGUCUGAGAGGAUGAUCAGUCACACUGGAACGGGGACACGGUCCAGAAUCCUACGGGAGGCAGCAGUGGGGAAUAUUGGACAAUGGUCGAGAGCCUGAUCCAGCCAUGCCGCGUGUGUGAAGAAGGUCUUCGGAUUGUAAAGCACUUUAAGUUGGGAGGAAGGGUUGUAGAUUAAUACUCUGCAAUUUUGACGUUACCGACAGAAUAAGCACCGGCUAACUCUGUGCCAGCAGCCGCGGUAAUAC
rnacentral:rRNA from 1 species